CAGCAGCCGCGGGAAUACGAAGGGUGCAAGCGUUACUCGGAAUUACUGGGCGUAAAGCGUGCGUAGGUGGUGGUUUAAGUCCGUUGUGAAAGCCCUGGGCUCAACCUGGGAAUUGCAGUGGAUACUGGGUCACUAGAGUGUGGUAGAGGAUAGUGGAAUUUCCGGUGUAGCGGUGAAAUGCGUAGAUAUGCGGAGGAACAUCAGUGGCGAAGGCGGCCAUCUGGGACAACACUGACGCUGAGGCACGAAAGCGUGGGGAGCAAACAGGAUUAGAUACCCGCGUAGUCCCUGUCUCUUAUAC
rnacentral:rRNA from 1 species